UCGGCAACGGAUAUCUCGGCUCUCGCAUCGAUGAAGAACGUAGCGAAAUGCGAUACUUGGUGUGAAUUGCAGAAUCCCGUGAACCAUCGAGUCUUUGAACGCAAGUUGCGCCCGAAGCCUUCUGGCCGAGGGCACGCCUGCCUGGGCGUCACGCAUCGCGUC
rnacentral:rRNA from 1 species